rnacentral:tRNA from 1 species
GCUUUCGUGGUGUAGUGGUCAGCACGCUCGACGCGUAUUCGAGAGGUCAGUGGUUCAAAUCCCUGAGAAGGCA